rnacentral:tRNA from 1 species
CGGGGCGUAGCGCAGUCCGGUAGCGCACUUGCUUUGGGAGCAAGGGGCCCCGGGUUCAAAUCCCGGCGCCCCGA